CCGCCGCCGCCCCUUCCCCUUCCAGAGCUCGUGCUCUUCCUCUCUUCCCCGCCCCCCCUCGCACCGCUGGAGCCGCCGCCGCCCCUUCCCCUUCCACAGCUCGUGCUCUUUCUCUCUUCCCCGCCCCCCUCGCACCGCUGGCCGCCGGCCCGCUGACUCCUUCACCUCCGGGAAGCACCGCCUUGUUUGCUCAUGUUCGGCGGCGGCCGUGGUUGAGCUCGAGCCCGGACGCGGCGGUGCGUUGUUGAGCACGGUUGCGGCCCGAAGCGGCGGGGGUAGAGGCGCAGGGCGACGUGAGGCACCCACUGAGUGCCUCUCCACCAAAUCCGGUCGCUACCAGCUCGCCUCGGCCUCCUCAUCUUCGUGCAUCUUCGGGAAGAAGACGACCCGCGCUGAGUCGGCUCUGAUCCGCGGUGAGAAGAUAGCGGGGGAGCUGGAUCCCAAGGGCAAAGUUUCAGUCCUCUAGAGCUGCGGGGAAGAAGAAGAAGAUGUGACUCAUAUAUUGCCUGAAGACUCUUCCCUGGAAUCAAAUAUAUUCCUAUCCCUGCAUCAUAUAAAGUGUGGCCUACAGCAAAGCAACGGAGUCAUCGAUGCAGUGAGAGCUCAGUGUCGCGUCUGUUGGCUGAGCAGCAAGCUAGAGCUGCAGUAACAGAAUAUAGUGGUUCUACAGUGAGAAUCUCAUGUCUCUCUCACUAUGUUUCCUGGCAAGGCGAUGAUGUGUGAACCCUCUGCGCAUGCCUAGCUGUAUUGUGGGAUGCGGCGGAGGUGGCACAUGAGCAGAUGAAAGAGGAAUAAUUGAAGCCCCAAUGCCUCCACACAUUCUUGCUCCCUGACAAUGGGAGUACUAGGAAUAUGUAUCAGGUUGCAUCCUCAAGCACUAAUGCUUCCCCUCUUGGAUUUUGGUUUCUUCGUCCAGGAAUUACCCGAGUCUCCUGGAUGUGGCACACAUCACCUCCUUGCGUCCUUGGCCGCUUCGGUGCCCGUUCAUGCUCAUCGGCGGGACGGUGCAAGGUGCAACUCUGAUGCGGUUCCUCGCCGGUUGGACGGCGUUGAGGCGCAACCCCGGCACCCACUGAGUACUGCCUCGGCUACAAACUCCCUCGGUGAGCUCCAUCUUCCUCCUGUUCCUCUUCUUUGGGACAUGGUCGUGGCUAUAUUGAUGUGGUGCUCAUCUGGUUGAUGCUCUAUGCCCUACUCAUGCAUCGGUUCCUGCUUGAGCUCUGUAGUUGUGGAUCCAUGCUAUUCUAGGGUUCGCAGGCUGCUGUUCAUGUUUAGUUGCUAUCAUAGGAGCUCAUGUGAUACUCUGGUUUACAUGUGGAUGCUCUGGUUUACAUGUGGAUGCUCUGGUCCUAUAGCUAUGCUACUGGAUCUGCUAAAUUGAUCAAUGACGUUCGUGCUAGGGCGAUGAUGAUUAACCGUGGCUGAAAUAUGUAUGCCUUUGAGUAAUCGAGGCACGUGUGGGUAUCAAGUUGAAUCCUCCCUCUUGUCUCUAGGAUCCUUUUUGAUCAUGUAAUACUUGUUGUUUUGUCCUUGGAUGGUCAUUCUUGUUGAGUGAUAACCAGGGCAGCUCCCCUGUAUUAACAGAUUGGUCUGGUGAUAAGAGAUGACGGGGGUAGGUUAUAUGACCGAGGAAAGGCCAAUCUGAGCCCACUAUGCAAUGAACCCUGAACCCUUUUUAUUUGUAUUUAAAGGUGUUGCUUAUCCAGAAACAUCCAAAAAUAAGAGAAGAGUGUCUCACCAAGCCUCCUUAGU